CCCUUAGAGUUUGAUCCUGGCUCAGGAUGAACGCUAGCUACAGGCUUAACACAUGCAAGUCGAGGGGAAACGAUAGAGAAAGCUUGCUUUUUCUAGGCGUCGACCGGCGCACGGGUGAGUAACGCGUAUCCAACCUGCCCACCACUUGGGGAUAACCUUGCGAAAGUAAGACUAAUACCCAAUGAUAUCUCUAGAAGACAUCUGAAAGAGAUUAAAGAUUUAUCGGUGAUGGAUGGGGAUGCGUCUGAUUAGCUUGUUGGCGGGGUAACGGCCCACCAAGGCGACGAUCAGUAGGGGUUCUGAGAGGAAGGUCCCCCACAUUGGAACUGAGACACGGUCCAAACUCCUACGGGAGGCAGCAGUGAGGAAUAUUGGUCAAUGGGCGAGAGCCUGAACCAGCCAAGUAGCGUGCAGGAUGACGGCCCUAUGGGUUGUAAACUGCUUUUAUAAGGAAUAAAGUGAGAGUCGUGACUCUUUUUGCAUGUACCUUAUGAAUAAGGACCGGCUAAUUCCGUGCCAGCAGCCGCGGUAAUACGGAAGGUCCGGGCGUUAUCCGGAUUUAUUGGGUUUAAAGGGAGCGUAGGCCGGAGAUUAAGCGUGUUGUGAAAUGUAGAUGCUCAACGUCUGCACUGCAGCGCGAACUGGUUUCCUUGAGUACGCACAAAGUGGGCGGAAUUCGUGGUGUAGCGGUGAAAUGCUUAGAUAUCACGAAGAACUCCGAUUGCGAAGGCAGCUCACUGGAGCGCAACUGACGCUGAAGCUCGAAAGUGCGGGUAUCGAACAGGAUUAGAUACCCUGGUAGUCCGCACGGUAAACGAUGGAUGCCCGCUGUUGGUCUGAAUAGGUCAGCGGCCAAGCGAAAGCAUUAAGCAUCCCACCUGGGGAGUACGCCGGCAACGGUGAAAC
rnacentral:rRNA from 1 species